UAAUUUUCAUUGCACAUUUCUAGGAAGAGGGAGGAGGAGGAGGGAGAAUGUGACAGUCUCAACAACAGUAGCUACACUCUUAUGGAAGUGGUUUUCCUAUGUGCUUCUCAACAGAUCGGCCCUUUCUUCAAAUAAGAGCAGUUGGAACAACAAAAGCUGUUUAGUUGUACCCUUGGAAUCCACGGAAAUCCUGGGUAGGGAGGCUCCGGUACCACCAACUGGAAAGACUGCGGAUGCCUAGUAGCUGGUACUGGCAGUUGUCGUAGGCUUUGUCCACUUUGACAAACUGAAGACGGAGACUCGACUCACCUUCGCCAGCCACGGGAGGACCUCCAGACGAGGUUAGGUCGACUUCAUGGUAACUUUAGAUCCUGAAACCUCACAGGAUUUUUCUUCUCUUCCCUUUGAUCUCUCUUCCGCUUACUCAACAGAACGGGACUCGCCACCUUUCUUUCCCGUCAGAAAGGGAUCCCUUGCGGACAGGACCGAAGUGAGUAGCUGCUUUCCCCUACGUGUCCUUCUGGGCCUGGGUGUCUCGGGAGCUGAGGCUGACCGGAGACCUAAUUACCGGCGAGUGGGACCAGCAGGAGCCUGGAGGGGCGCGCACCGGGGUGGAGGUUUGGCGCCGGGGGUCGAGAACAGCAGUCAAACCCUCUUCUUCCCCGCGCAGCGCGCACCUGCUCCCCCUCCCCAUGCCGAAGGAAGUGGCCCCUAAGGCUUCUCUGCAGACCCAACGGAAACAGGCCUGAAGCUCCAGGAGGGCGAGGGGAUCCUCUUUGAGCGAAACCAGCCUUCUGCCUGGCUGGCCCUGGUCAACAAACUCGGAAGAGGCCGACUUGGCGGACAGAACGGAAGAAAAGACCUAAAGGUAGAAUCUCAUGAUGUCGAGAUGUUAAAACCCUCCAAUUUUAAGGUCCGACUGUGCGGGGGAGCGAGGGGGUCUCGAGCUGGAUCGAUCCCUGAGCCUUCAUCUGGAGAGUCCUCUGCACAAGCUCAGAGGGCAGGACUAUGAGCACCAGUGGUUCUCAAUAGGCGGCAACUUCACCCUCAGACUACUCCCCCAUCCCCGCUGGGACACUAGGCCAGACUAGGGGAAGCCCGGAGGGAGAAUGUUAACCCCUGGCAUCCAUCUAGUCAGCGGACGCGAGGGAUGCUGCUAAACACCUUACAAUCCACCGGAGGGCCCCUCCCCCACCCCUAAGUGGCCAUUCCGCCGAGGUGGAGAAAUUCGCGUGUAGAUCAAUGCCCACGCACUUGGCCGACGGGAAAUCACGAAUUGGUGACCAAUUGGAUUUUGGAUUUGAGGAAAAAACUCCAGCGUCAGAGGGAACUCUAGGAGUUUUGCCCGGAGCAUAAGGAAGGGUAGCGUUGCCGUCGCCUAAGAUGGGAAAAUGGCAGGUGUCGCAGGUUGCAGGGGAAGGUCAGAGAGCAGUUGAGGGCCCCGGAGCCCCCCUGGAAAGUUUUCCAUCCAGCUCGUCUCGGUUUCCACAUCCGUGUGAGUCCUUUAUGAUGUCGGGGUUGCCAAGGUCUGAGUCCUUUAUGAUGUGCGGGGUGCCCCGUUCUCACCCCGGGAGCCUCCUCGCUCCUGCCUGCUCUGGCUACCCGGUGCGCGACUCUGGCCCCGGCCACCAGCGACUGUUUCUCCACGCGCUGCCGCUUCGCAAAGGCACAUUUCUAGGCAAUCUGAAGGCAAAUCCUAUUUAGACCCAGGCAAAGGUUCCUGGUGACCCAGGCUCUCACCAGCUGAUUGUCCCUUACCGUCCUCCUGAGGGUGUCUGGAGCUUCAGUGCUGUGUGCUCUUGGCCGCCACCCUUGGGGUGCCACCGACUCCCACUGUCCAGGGCUUCCAGUGGACUCUCCGAGGCACUGACGUAGAAACUUCCUCAUUCAGUGCACCAAGAGCAGCCUCACAUGGUGUGGGCCGACAUGAAGAGCUGCUAGAUCCAACAGAAAUGUGACUGAUAACAGUAAAGCCACACUCUUCGCAUGCCUGAAAUAGCCCUCAAUGUCUUCUUCAGGUGGCAAGGGCUCUGGAACAGCCACAUAAAGUGUCCACAGAUCAGAAGUUCAGGCCUGGAUUAGCUGAGUCUUCUUCUCAGGGCCUCACAGGCUGAAAUUAGGCUGGGUUUCUUUCUGGAGGGUCUGGGGAAGAACUUCCUCUCAAGUUUCCUCAGGUUGUCAGCUGAGUUCAGUUCCUUGUGACUGCAGGACUGAGAUCUCUGUUUUCUUGCUGGCUGUCAGCCAGGGACCUCUUGCUGCUCCUAGAGGCCUCCCACGUUCCCACUGCAUGCUUUCUCCAUCCAGCAGAGGAGAAUCACCCUGCCUGGAAACCCUCCUGCACUUCACAUUUCUCCAGGAAGACCUCAGUCCCUCCAAGGAACUCACCUUCUUUAGGUCAAGCUCAUAAGAUAUCUCCCUGUCUUAGAUUCGACUGAUUUGGGAUCUCGAUUACAUCUGCUAACGUUUUUGCCAUAAAUUGUAACACAAUCACAGGAGUGAUAUCUCAUCGCUGGCUUUGUCUACACUUAGGAAGAAGUGAUUAUAUAAGAGCAAAGAUCACUGCAGCUCAUCUUAGGAUUCUGUCUACCAUAAUACUAUAAAGACACAGUAAUUAAAAGACUAUAACAGAUUUCUACUUCUAUCUGUUAGAAUAAAUCAUAUCAGACUGCCUCCAUAAACAAACAUAAAAUUGUUUUCAGACAGUGAACAACAGGCAGUACAACAGGAAACUUAAGGUGGAAGCCCCAUGAUUUCCUAGUUUUUGUCUGGGGAGAAUUUCUCAGCAGCUGCACAGUAGGCUAGAGUCCUCUCAGAGCAGGGCAUCCCCACUGAGCUGAGAAGGCAGAGAUCAGAGUUCAAGGCCACUGAAGAAAUUCCAAUCUGCAGGGCAGGGCACCAAUAGGAGACAGCUGUUCAGAGGGGCAGCUCUCGAAGUCCAUGUGGGGUUCCAUGUGCAUACUUAUCAAGGACUGGACUGUACCUGCACAAGAAAAAGACUAACAGAUUUAACAUAGGAGUGGCUGCUAUAAAGUUGAGUUUGGACCAGAAGUACUUGUGGUGGAAGAGGGUUGGGGAAUGGAUGAUGGAGUUCCUGCCAUCCAGGGUGGGAAGAACUCAUGCACACCUCAUUAGCAUCCAGGUAUCCAAUUGAGACACUAGAAAGGCUGUGCUUUAGGAAUAAGUGUCACACUUUACAAUAAGGCCUAUUCUAGACCAGCCCUAGUAAAGCCUAAAACCAAACCCUGACAACAUCCACAAAGGGAUGGAUUGGUGAUUGAGUCCUACCAAAUUAGAGAGUCUUGGGAAAUGCUGUUGGCUUUCCAUGAAUCCACUGUAAUAAAACAUAAACCAAGUCCACAUAAGUCCAAUGUGAUCAGACAGUAAUUUUAAUGCCCACUAGAACAAAAUUAAUUCACACAAUCAAUGACACAAGUUAGCCAAGUCGACAUUUAAGCAAAAUACAUCUAAGAACAGCUAACAAAUAACUCUUCUCAAACUCACAUAGAACAUUCACCAAGAUAGACCACAUAUGCUGAGACAUACUUAGUAUUUUCUGUCCUUUCUUUUUGGCUCAUGCAUACUGUGCUCAAACUCUUAAAAUUAUACACUUUAAUUAUACACUUUAGUGAUUAUACACUUUAAUGCAUCUCAAUUGCAUGUAAGUUAUAUUUCAAUAUAUUUGUUAAAAGUUUAUAAUUAAAAAAACUGUCCUAGCUUGAUUCAAGAAAUCUUUUUUAUAUUUAAAAAGUAUAAUUUUAUAUAUUAUCAGGGCAAAAGAGAAAAACUGUAUGAUUGCCUCAUCAUACACAGUAAAAGCAUUUGGCAAAAUUGAAAACUUUUUUCAUGAUUUAUAAAAACAAACCCCAGAAAACUCUCAGCAUGAUAAGAACAGAAGGCAACACUUCCAACCCCAUUAAGGGCAGAUUUGAAAAACCCACAGGUAACAUUAUAUUAAAUGGCAUAAGAUUGAAUGCUUUUCCAUUAAAUCAGAGAAAAAAGUAGAAUAUCUAUUGUUACUCUUUCAAUUCAGCAUUAUACUGGAGCUCUAAAUCAAUGCAAUAAAGUAAGAAAAAUAAAUAAAAGUAUUGAAAAGGUU